AUUGAACGCUGGCGGCAUGCCUUACACAUGCAAGUCGAACGGUAACAGGUCUUCGGAUGCUGACGAGUGGCGAACGGGUGAGUAAUACAUCGGAACGUGCCCGAGAGUGGGGGAUAACGAGGCGAAAGCUUUGCUAAUACCGCAUACGAUCUCAGGAUGAAAGCAGGGGACCGCAAGGCCUUGCGCUCACGGAGCGGCCGAUGGCAGAUUAGGUAGUUGGUGGGAUAAAAGCUUACCAAGCCGACGAUCUGUAGCUGGUCUGAGAGGACGACUAGCCACACUGGGACUGAGACACGGCCCAGACUCCUACGGGAGGAAGCAGUGGGGAAUUUUGGACAAGGGGCGCAAGCCUGAUCCAGCCAUGCCGCGUGCAGGAUGAAGGCCUUCGGGUUGUAAACUGCUUUUGUACGGAACGAAAAGACUCUGGUUAAUACCUGGGGUCCAUGACGGUACCGUAAGAAUAAGCACCGGCUAACUACGUGCCAGCCGCCGCCGUAAUAC
rnacentral:rRNA from 1 species